rnacentral:rRNA from 1 species
AACGAACGCUGGCGGCGUGGCUAAGACAUGCAAGUCGAACGAACUGGUCAAUUUAUUGAGCAGUUAGUGGCGAAAGGGUUAGUAAUGGAUAGGUAACGUGCCCUGUGCUCCGGAAUAGCGUCGUUCGCCUUCGGGUGAACUACCGAAAGGGACGGUAAUACCGGAUAAUAUCAUUUGUCGAUGGGCAUUUGACCAAAGAUUUAUCGGCGCGGGAGCGGCCUAUCUCCUAUCAGCUUGUUGGUGAGGUAAUGGCUCACCAAGGCGGCGACGGGUAGCGGGACUGAGAGGUUGACCCGCAACAUCGGGACUGAGACACUGCCCGGACCUCCACGGAGGGCUGCAGUAACGAAUAUUGUGCAAUGGGCGAAAGCCUGACACAGCGACGCCGCGUGUAGGAAGAAGUCUUUCGGGAUGUAAACUACUGUCAGGGGUAAGAAAGUCCGCUCCGGCGGAUUGAUCUAAC